rnacentral:ncRNA from 1 species
AAAAAAGUAAUGAUAGAGAGAGUAGGUAUAUACUAACUUUUAGGGAGAAAAAAUCAUAGACUGGAAGUUUUUUUAAGAUUAGAUAUAUUGAAGUUCACUCAGGAGCUCUAGCUGUGAAAUUUUUAGUAGUAGCUAGCGGGAAACCGUUAAAUUAUACGAGUUGGGUUUAUUUAAUUUAAAUAUAUAAGCCAAUUAGGGUGGUAACGCGGAUUUUUCCGUCCCUUGU